rnacentral:rRNA from 1 species
GCUAGGAUGAACGCUGGCGGCAGGCUAAUACAUGCAAGUCGAACGGUAAGGCCUGAAGUGGCAACACGGAAGGUACACGAGUGGCGCACGGGUGCGUAACGCGUAUGCAACCUGCCCCCAACCGGGACAAAACAGCUGGAAACGGCUGCUAAUAUCCCAUGGUCAUCCGGGAGGGCAUCCUCCUGGAUGUAAAGAUUCAUUGGUUGGGGAUGGGCAUGCGUAUUAUUAGGUAGUUGGCGGGGUAACGGCCCACCAAGCCGACGAUGAUUAGGGGUCCUGAGAGGGUUAACCCCCACACUGGAACUGAGACACGGUCCAGACUCCUACGGGAGGCAGCAGUAGGGAAUAUUGGGCAAUGGAGGCAACUCUGACCCAGCCAUGCCGCGUGAAGGAAGACGGCCCUAUGGGUUGUAAACUUCUUUUGCCGCAGAGUAAACCCGUCCACGUGUGGGCGGCUGAGAGUAUGCGGCGAAUAAGUAUCGGCUAACUCCGUGCCAGCAGCCGC